GCACGCCCGCCAGCCCGCUCGCUUGCCGGCCGGCCUCCCGGUUCCGUCGCCGUCCCGUCAUUCCCAGCGGGGAGCAAUAGAGUGGGAGUCGCUGGCGGGCUCUAGAGCGGCGCAAGGCCGAUGAUGUCGGAAAAGAAACAGCCCGUCGACUUGGGGCUCUUGGAGGAGGACGACGAGUUCGAGGAGUUCCCGGCAGAAGACUGGGCUGGUUUAGAUGAAGAUGAAGAUGCACAUGUGUGGGAAGACAAUUGGGACGAUGACAAUGUGGAAGAUGAUUUCUCCAAUCAGCUAAGAGCUGAAUUAGAAAAACACGGCUACAAGAUGGAAACCUCAUAGCUUUCAGUGAUGGGACUGCUGUAUAUUGAACAGAGAAAUGUUACAGAAUGCUAGCUGGAAGCAGAAAUACUAGAAUGUCCUUUAUUACCCCCCAAAUUUGUUUUUGUUUUGUAUGAAUAAAAAUUUGAAUCUUAAA